UACGGAGGGCGCAAGCGUUGUUCGGAUUCACUGGGCAUAAAGGGCGCGUAGGCUGUCAAUUUAGUUGGGUGUGAAAGCCCCCGGCCCAACCGGGGAACUGCACUCAAUACUGGUUGACUAGAGGAUGGUAGGGGCCAAUGGAACUCCAGGUGGAACGGUGAAAUGUGUAGAUAUCUGGAGGAACACCGGUGGCGAAAGCGAUUGGCUGGGCCAUCUCUGACGCUGAGGCGCGAAAGCCAGGGGAGCGAACGGG
rnacentral:rRNA from 1 species